GUCAAAAUGGUAAGGGUGCACUGGCCGUUAAACAUGGCUGUGCCAUAAAUAAAUAAAUUAUACGAUGCUGUUACUCACGUAAAUUUUGUGUGUAAUGGUAAGUUAAUAACGUGCGAUAAAGUUUGGAAAAUUCGCUACUGGUCAAAUUCACCAAAAUGCUGGAAAUAACUGAUUUUCAAAGUAAGUUUACCCAAAUCAAGAGAAAUUGGCAUUGGUCUAACAGGAUUUGGUGUUGCUUUUCUCUUUCUGGGGGUAAUAUUUGUUUUUAAUAAAGGACUUUUGGCCAUUGGAAACAUAUUGUUCCUUUCUGGAAUUGCUUUUGUUAUUGGCUAUGAAAGAACAUUCCGAUUUUUCUUUCAACAACAUAAACUAAAAGGAACUGUGGCCUUUUUUGGGGGAAUAUUUUUAGUAUUAUUUGGUUGGCCCCUUGUAGGAAUAUUAAUAGAAACCUAUGGAUUCAUUUUGCUUUUCAGUGGCUUCUUCCCAGUGGCAUUAAAUUUCUUGCAGAGAAUUCCUGUUUUGGGGGCUUUACUCUCUUUACCGUACAUAAGCAAGAUUGUGGACAGGUAGGAGGUAAUCCUAGCAGGUCAAUGGUGUGAAAGGCCACCGGGUACAAGUUAGUAGAAAAAAAUUAUAACAAAUAACACAUAGCAAGAGUGUUAUGAUGGAUUGGUGUAUUUGUCCCCUUCUGAAGUUGAACGUAUUCACAAAGAACUGUUUAUAAACUAUAUUUACUUGCAUACUUUCAUUCAAAGUAAAUUAUGUAACCCAACCUUUAUAUUCUAAAUGUAAAAGUUUAAAUUAAUAUAGGAAAUUUAGAAAUUAAUGCAGAUGUAAUUUUUUGGAAGAUUGUAACUAAGUUUUCAUUAGUUAAUGCAUUAUUAUAAAACUUUUUUUUAUAAAAAAUUACCAAAAAUUUAUAAAAUUACACCUUCCUUAUCUGUAAAGGUCAAAAGUGAAUUCACCAGUCAUUGUAGCAAACCAUCUUAUAUAGCUGUGUAAAAAGCCUCUUGUAACAAGGUAACGUUAUUUGUAGAAAUUGUUACCCUGUGAUGAUUUUAACCUUCAUGUAAUCACCAUCACAUUUUACUCUGUUGGAAAAAGUUAUGUGCAAGUGUUAACUAUCUUUGAUAAUGAAAUUUGUAUCUUUUGCUUUGGAAAACAGUAUUUUGUUUCCUCCUGUCCAAAUUUCAGGAUGAAAGAUAAAUUUCUGAUGUAGAUAAAAGACAUGAGGUAAAAAAAUAUCCUAUUCAGUACUCUCAACUGAAAUUUAAUGAUGACUUUUCAAAGUAUGAACUAUUAUUUGAUGUUUUCAAAAUUUCAUACAAAAUGGUGUCAGCUAGAGCGAGUUACCUCAUUCACAGAAUAUAUAAAUAGAAAAAUGGAUUUUAAAGUUUCUGCUGACAAUAUACUUCAGUGGUGAAAACUCCUUUUCAUUGUUAUUGUUUAUAUUAUUUCUUAUUUCUGUGAUUGAAAUUCCUGUUAUCAGUUCACUGGAAAAAAGAUAAUAAUCUAAGUUUUAUUGAAAAAAAUUAAAAACUUAUUUCAAAUCA
rnacentral:misc_RNA from 1 species